UGCCAGACUCCUACGGGAGGCAGCAGUGGGGAAUCUUCCGCAAUGGGCGAAAGCCUGACGGAGCAACGCCGCGUGAUCGAAUGAAGGCCUUCGGGUUGUAAAGAUCUGUUGACAGGGACGAAUAAGCAAUGCGAAUAGUUUUGUGUAUGACGGUACCUGUUUAGAAAGCUCCGGCUAACUACGUGCCAGCAGCCGCGGUAAUACGUAGGUGGCAAGCGUUAUCCGGAUUUACUGGGUGUAGAGGGCGUGUGGGCGGGAGAGCAAGUCAGACGUGAAAUUCCAGGGCUCAACCCUGGAACUGCGUUUGAAACUGUUCUUCUUGAGUGAUGGAGAGGCAGGCGGAAUUCCGUGUGUAGCGGUGAAAUGCGUAGAUAUACGGAGGAACACCAGUGGCGAAGGCGGCCUGCUGGACAUUAACUGACGCUGAGGCGCGAAAGCGUGGGGAGCAAACAGGAGUAGAUCCCCCAGUA
rnacentral:rRNA from 1 species